AAUACAACUGUAAAUCCUCCCCCUGGAUUAAAACUUAAAGUGCAUUUCUGCCUGGACGUGGGACUUGGGAACAGAAAAUCCAGAAUCAGGAGCAUCUGGAUGGAAGAUGAACUAACUUCUGUUGAUCAGACUUACUGGGAUGCCUAGAUCUACUCCCAGAGAUUCUAAUACCACCUAACCUAGAUCGUAUAGAAACAGGUGCAGUGCUUAAUUAAGGAGGUGGAGCUUCUUGUGGGCACUGUAGAUUAUGACUGCUCUGAAAUUAAAGGGAGAAUUCUAUUGUUUUAUAAUGUGCACUCAAUGGUAUUAUAGGAAUUCUUAGAAGUUACAUUAUCUUUUCCAAUUAUAAGCUCCUGGAGCAGUUCUCAAACUACCCCUAUCCAACCCAAACUGUGAUGACCUGGAGCAAAGCUAAGCAAAAUAUUCUGGAGUAAAGUGAAAUGUAGACAUGACACAAGAAAUGGAAAAAUCCAGUUUAUCUGAUUGACAGAAUUAAGCUCUUCAUAGAAUGAAUACUUUCUGUCUACAAGUUGAUUGGUGUAAUACAAGCAAGUGACAAAGAUGAAUCCAUGUGAGAACAUGCUGAGAAGAAAACAAGCUCUUCAAACUGCCAUUAGGUAGAGUGCUUUGUGAAAUGUGUAUAGCCGCACACAAUGGAAUACGUUGUAUCUUGUGAAAACAGUCCAGUUUUUAUCACAGUUUUGCAUCACUCUCUUCUAGAGAAUUCAUCUUAUAUUCUCUGUAUUCCUUCUAUUCCUUCACUGUAACUACUGUAUAUUUUUGCUUGUUUCUUGUUUAUUUAUUUGCUUAUUUUCUCAUGCCCUCUAUAUAGUUACUUUUCCAGUCACUUUCCACAGAACACAUCUAACUGUGACAUUUGCAGCACCAUUUUCACUGCUGCUGUCUCUGCCUUAUUGGCUCAUUGAGCUUGAGCCUCUCCAACUGUUUAGGAUCAGUGGCUGUUAUUGCUCUACUAUUCUGUUCAUUUUGUGGAUAGCUCCACUUUAACAUCCCAGUCCAGGUCUUUCAAAUGCUCUGUCCUCAAUUUUAUUACUCACUCAGCACCCUUCCUUCUAGAAACUGUACUACCCUAAAGUGUCCUGUUUCUAAUUAGAGAAAAUUUAUGAUUACCAACAGUACAUGACGGUAUUACAUAGGUUGUUCUGAACCAAGAACUUCCAACAGCUACAAAGAGAACAAUAACACUAUUUGAUAGAGAAAAUUCUCAACUACAAAGUACAAUUUCUCAACAUAGGCACCACCAUUAGCUAUGUGUUUUCACAAGCAAUGAACAAAAGCCUGCAUGACAUGCUCAUUAAUAUCUGUACAAUCAGAGGUAAUCCCCUAUUUCACAUCUGCUAUGAUGGUGUCAUUGCUAGGAAAAUGUUGCCCAUACAGUCCAUCUUUCAUUGGCUGUUUGGUUUCCAUAAGCAUUCAGUAAGUCAGUGGGUGCAAAUUUUUCCAGUGGAAGGAAUUCAGUUCCAAAACUUUGCUUCUUACACACCUCCAGGUCAGACAUCAUUUCGUCAGACUGCCCCUCUGCUGCCAUCUAUUGCACAGCAACACAGUGUAACAAUAACAACGUAGGAAGGUUCAGCAUCUACUGUCAUACCACCAACGUCGGACUCUGAGAGUGUGGGCCAACAUAAUAAAAUAGGGCGCAGUACUUUUAGAGCAGCCAUUGUAUGUACAUCCUCAGAUUUGUAACAACAGUAUUCUCUUUUUUCUUUUUUUUCAGUCUUAAGAAAACACUAAUUUUAAAAAAAAUAAUUACAAUAAAAAAGAAAAACUGAUAAAAACCUCCUUCAACAGUCAUAGCAUUAGUCAAAAAACUUUUACAAUUUCUUCUAAUUUCUCUGAGUUAUUAUUGACACAUCUCAACUCUUCCUUCAACACUCCCUAUUUUCUUUUAUUUUUCCUUUGUUAUCCUACACUGUGCCUUCUGUACACAGGCUCUGUUAAGUGCUUUUUCAAGACUUUCUUCAACUGUUGUUUUCCUAGUAGCCUAAGGUCUACCAGCCUAGCAAUUUGCUAUAUUUGGAUAUGGUGCUUGUCUAAUGAUAAAUCUCAAGACUGUUCUUGUUCUUAUGAGUGAUGCUGUAUUCCUUUUUUUUUUUUUCUUCUCUUUUAUUUUGUGAUUGUUCUUGUUGUUGCUUGCUUUUUGUUUGUUUGUUUGUUUUGUAUUAUAUUGUUUUCAUGUUUUCUGUGCUAAGCUAUUGUAGUGGGAAACUAGAAACUAGAUGUUUGUAAAACUGGAUUUUCUAUGUAUUCUAUUGUCUGAUAAAAGAGGCACUGGAAAUGCAGAAAACCUUUCAGUCAGGUUAGCUUCUUGGUAUUUCCCCAAACUUCUACUCCUGAUACCUGCACUUUUCUCUCCAGCAUUUUUGGAGUGUGAUUAAGGCAUAGCAUAAUAUAUGGUGGCAUAACAGCAUACACUAAAAUAUUACUUGUUAAUAUAUUUUUAUAAAUCGGAGACAAUAAAUUCUGUUAU
ensembl:lncRNA